GCCGGAAUAGCUCAAUUGGGAGAGCAUCAGACUGAAACUCUGAAGGUUCCCGGUUCGAUCCCGGGUUCUGGCA